CACUGUCUUAAGUGAAUAAGACAUUUAUUCAGCAACAAAGCAACUGUUGUAUUUAUGAAUAGGUCAAGGAUGAAUCGACUCUCACAAUUUAUUUAAAUCCACAGAUUCAUUCGCAAAAAAUAACCCACUCUAGCCUAACAUAUAAGGACUGAACCGAUGUGAACGCUAACAGAAUCCUCUACCACGUUGCGUCUUGGCAAGUCAUCUGAUGUGCGUCAAGGUGAAUUUGUGGUUGCCAUGGGGAGCCCCUUUUCUCUUAAAAACACCAUCACAUCUGGAAUCGUCAGCUCUGCUCAGAGAGACAGUAAAGAACUGGGUCUCUCCAACUCCAACAUGGAUUACAUCCAGACGGACGCUACCAUAGAUUUUGGAAAUUCAGGAGGGCCUCUCAUAAACCUGGAUGGUGAGGUCAUCGGCAUUAAUACCAUGAAAGUGACAGCAGGGAUUUCCUUCGCUAUUCCCUCAGACAGAGUCCGUCUCUUCCUAGACCGAUCUGCAGACAAAUAGAACUCUUGGUUUGGAGAAUCGGGAUCGAAAAGGCGUUACAUUGGAGUGAUGAUGUUGACUUUGACCCCCAGUAUAAUCGAAGAGCUAAGGAUGCGAGACCCGUCCUUCCCUGAUGUUUCUCAUGGAGUUCUCAUCCACCGUGUGAUUGUAGGAUCUCCAGCCAACAGAGCCGGAAUGAAGCCAGGAGAUGUUAUUAUUGAGAUCAAUGGGGUAAAGGUGAACACGUCGUAGGAGAUAUAUAAUGCUGUGAGGACCAGCAAAAGCUUAAAUGUGGUGGUCCGCCAGGUCCGACAUCAAGUCAAGUAUUUAGUAAGAUUAAGAAAUGGUGAGUAAUGAGAAGCUGUCAUAGUUGGAGAUGUUGUAAGAAAGGAAUCAUCUAAAGAGUUGAACAGUUUUAGCAAACGCUGGACAUUCGUGUAGUAAACGUGUUUCUGGAAGCGUAUGAAAUAAUGUGGAUGAUUCAGACUUCUGUACACUGGAUAAACCUCAGCGUGUCUGCGCAAACUACACUAUCAGUAUUGAUUUGAAGGAAUAUCACUGAAUAUUUUGUUUAGGAUUGUCAUGAUGGCAACAAACACUCAAAGACCUUAAUAAAACUGGGUGCUCUUAUUGUGAAAAUGCUGAUGUUUUGUAUUGAAUCUCACAUUCUCAUGUUACGACGUUUGUAUUUUAAUACAUUUUUCUGAACAGCUCUGAUUUCACAAUAAACCAUUGGAAUAUUUAUGGAU